UACGUAGGGGGCAAGCGUUUGUCCGGAAUCAUUGGGCGUAAAGCGCGUGUAGGCGGCCUUGUAAGUCCGUUCUGAAAGCCCGGGGCUCAACCCCGGGAGGCGGAUGGAUACUGCAAGGCUCGAGUACGGAAGAGGCGAGUGGAAUUCCCGGUGUAGCGGUGGAAAUGGCGCAGAUAUCGGGAAGGAACACCAAUGGCGAAGGCAGCUCGCUGGGACGUUACUGACGCUGAGACGCGAAAGCGUGGGGAGCAACAGG
rnacentral:rRNA from 1 species